rnacentral:rRNA from 1 species
GACGAACGCUGGCGGCAUGCCUAACACAUGCAAGUCGAACGAGAUCUUCGGGUCUAGUGGCGCACGGGUGCGUAACGCGUGGGAAUCUGCCCUUUGGUUCGGAAUAACAGUUGGAAACGACUGCUAAUACCGGAUGAUGACGAAAGUCCAAAGAUUUAUCGCCAGAGGAUGAGCCCGCGUAGGAUUAGCUAGUGGGUGUGGUAAAGGCGAACCAAGGCGACGAUCCUUAGCUGGUCUGAGAGGAUGAUCAGCCACACUGGGGCUGAGACACGGCCCAGACUCCUACGGGAGGCAGCAGUGGCGAAUCUUGGACAAUGGGCGAAAGCCUGAUCCAGCAAUGCCGCGUGAGUGAUGAAGGCCUUAGGGUUGUAAAGCUCUUUUACCCGGGAUGAUAAUGACAGUACCGGGAGAAUAAGCUCCGGCUAACUCCGUGCCAGCCGCCGCCGUAA